UCUCAAAAUACUCUGAACACAUCUGACCUCACUGGAUCUCAGAAGCUGAGCAGGGCCAGACUGGUCAGCACUAGGACGUGGAACCAUCUGAGUAGGCUUGGGUAGAU
rnacentral:rRNA from 1 species